rnacentral:lncRNA from 1 species
CAUGUUAUUCUGUAAUGCAGGAAUGAGACAACCUCAUAGAAGCUCUUGAGUGACAGAUUUCAGCACGAUUCAGGGAGAGCUUGAUUGGCAAGAAUCUCAGUUACUUUUGUCAUUAGUUUCAAUCUGCUGCCUUGCAAAACCCCUCCAAACGGGAAAUAAGCUCCUCGGACUGAGUUUCCAUUAUUCUCCUUUAUCCAGAGGGCUCGUCGGUGGAGCCAGCUUCCAUAACCGUGUGGCGGAUUCGGAGAGGAGGUGGGAGUGCAGGUGAAUGAACUCACUGUGAUUGGGGCCCCUUUUUACAACCAACUUGGCUCCAGUUGGGCACAACAUAAACCUGUGGCAAUUUAAAAAUUAUGUAUGUAUGUAUGUAUGUGUGCGCUUUUUGCUGAAGAAUAAUGUUUAUAAAGUACACAAAUCUUAGGGACAGCUCAAUGAAUUUUUACGUAUGUACACAUCCACGGAACCACCAUCCAAACCAGGAUACCAUUGAACAUUGCCGUCAGUCUGGAAGCUGCCAUCUUGUCACCUGUCAGUCAGCAGUUCCCUCCCGCCUUCUCCCCUAGGUAUUUUUCCCUCUCCACCCUGGUCUUCUCCUGUAACGUGUGGCCGCCUUUUCCAGCACGGCCUCCUGCCUUCCUGGUGCACUUUUUGGAGAACGUGGUGGAAUCAGAGGUUUCUGGCUGACUCGGUGG